GAUGAAGAACGUAGCGAAAUGCGAUAAGUAGUGUGAAUUGCAGAAUUCAGUGAAUCAUCGAAUCUUUGAACGCACAUUGCGCCCCUUGGUAUCCCGAGGGGCAUGCCUGUUCGAGCGUCAUUUCACCACUCAAGCCUGGCUUGGUGUUGGGCGACGUCCUCUUUGGGGACGCGCCUCGAAACGCUCGGCGGCGUGGCACCGGCUUUAAGCGUAGCAGAAUCUUUCGCUUUGGAAGUCGGGGCCCCGUCUGCCGGAAGACCUGCUCGCAAGGUUGACCUCGGAUCAGGCAGGGAUACCCGCUGGACUUAAGCAUAUCAAUAAGCGGAGGA
rnacentral:misc_RNA from 1 species